rnacentral:rRNA from 1 species
AGCUCCAAUAGCGUAUAUUAAAGUUGUUGCGGUUAAAAAGCUCGUAGUUGGAUCUGCGGACGUGGAGAACGGUCGCCUACUCGGUGUACUGUUUUCCUGUCCUAUAUUCUCUAGUUUGCUCUAGGUGCGCUUCACUGUGUGUCUAGAGUAGCUAGAACGUUUACUUUGAAAAAAUUAGAGUGCUCAAAGCAGGCUUCUACGCCUGAAUAGUGGUGCAUGGAAUAAUGGAAUAGGACCUCGGUUCUAUUUUGUUGGUUUUCGGAGCAUGAGGUAAUGAUUAAGAGGGACAGACGGGGGCAUUCAUAUUGCGACGUUAGAGGUGAAAUUCUUGGAUCGUCGCAAGAUGAACUACUGCGAAAGCAUUUGCCAAGCAUGUUUUCAU